UUUCUGGGAAGCACGAGGACUGACUCUGAAGGAAGCAGAAAGGCAAGACAGAACAGAGCACACAGGUUUUGGUGAAGGUUCCCCCAGGACGAGUGAUCUCUUUGGUCCUUCCCAGCACCAAGACGGGCGGAACCAUCACACCUGUGAAAGGAUGUUUCCUUGCUAUUCCCAUGGACAGCGAUAGAGAGCCUACCCGGUAGGAGUGGUAGCAGAACUGAGGAGGGAAAGACUGAAUCGGGGGAUCUCACCCAGCAGGAAACCUGAUCAGCAGGAGAAGAGGCUGAAGCCAGGAAGGGGCUAGCGGGGCCUCGGAGACACCCAAAUCCUGGCGCCGGAGUUUUUGCUGCUGGACCGGAGCCUGCCCCGGGGCCUCCUGAGAAAACCCGGCGCGGACAAGUAAUUAAGGCGGACGGGCUGUGGAGGCAGAGGCAACUCCAGAUUGUCCUAAGAACUUUAGCGGAUCACCUACCCACGCUAAGCCUCUGCUUCUGAAAAAUGGGAAGAACUAUAUCCAAAGUACAAGUUGCUUGCGAUGAUUAAAUGAGAUAAUGAUAGGAAAUAAUAACGGUACUUUUUAUAUGCCAGAA